rnacentral:lncRNA from 1 species
ACAAGACGCUGAUCAAGACGCUGAUCAAGACACUUCUUGGAAAAGGUCCAGACUCAAUUGUGGUAUAACACGUGUUUUGUGUACUUUUCAAGAGAUCCUGAACAUUUUGUGAAAUACGAGAAGGACGUCGCUGAAAUGGUUCA